CUGGAGAUGUAGGUAUUAAUUUAUCGCGGAGCACCACAUAACAGGUUGUACCUUCGCAUAUCUUAUAAAAUAAUCACGGUGGGCCACCAUAACCAAAAACGCCAACGCCAUCUUUUGGGUCCCAAGGCUUACUUGUAGCAUCCUGAGGAGCACAACAUCAACGCUGACCCAGUUAGGAUGCUCUACCAGCCAUGUGCAACCGAGCAAACAGCCAACGCCCUGGAGAAUGAAAUCGUUGGCGUGCACACCUGGUGCCUACCACACUAAUGAGCCAGGCAACGCUGCAAACGGAAAGACGGAAGGCGGGUGGCAGGCGGAGGGGAGCCGAGGUGUGUUCAUGGGCCCAGCACGGGUGGAAAAUUGCAACUACCACCACAUAAAUACUACUUCAAAAAUCAAUAAAACAACAUCAUUUUUUUAUUUA